rnacentral:rRNA from 1 species
UACGGAGGGUGCGAGCGUUGUCCGGAAUCACUGGGCGUAAAGGGCGCGUAGGCGGUCUGCUAAGCGUGCGGUGAAAGCCUGGGGCUCAACCCCAGGUCUGCCGUGCGAACUGGUGGACUAGAGCACUGUAGAGGCAGGUGGAAUUCCGGGUGUAGCGGUGGAAUGCGUAGAGAUCCGGAAGAACACCGGUGGCGAAGGCGGCCUGCUGGGCAGUUGCUGACGCUGAGGCGCGACAGCGUGGGGAGCGAACCGG